ACCAUAUCUCAUUGAAACACUGAAGUUAAGCAACAUUAAGCCUGGUCAGUACCCAAAUGUGUGACCACUUGGGAAUACCAGGUGUUGUAA